rnacentral:rRNA from 1 species
GAGUUUGAUCCUGGCUCAGGACGAACCCUGGCGGCGUGCCUAAUACAUGCAAGUCGAGCGGGGAAGCGGGCUCUGACCUUCGGGUCAAAGCCCGCACUCCCAGCGGCGAACGGGUGAGUAACACGUGGGUAACCUGCCCUGCAGUUUGGGAUAACUUCGGGAAACCGGAGCUAAUACCGAAUAAUUCUCCUGAACGCAUGUUUAGGAGCUGAAAGAUGGCGCGAGCUAUCGCUGCAGGAUGGGCCCGCGGCGCAUUAGCUAGUUGGUGGGGUAACGGCUCACCAAGGCGACGAUGCGUAGCCGACCUGAGAGGGUGAUCGGCCACACUGGGACUGAGACACGGCCCAGACUCCUACGGGAGGCAGCAGUAGGGAAUAUUCCGCAAUGGGCGAAAGCCUGACGGAGCGACGCCGCGUGAGCGAUGAAGGUCUUCGGAUCGUAAAGCUCUGUUGUUAGGGAAGAACAAGUACCGGAGUAACUGCCGGUACCUUGACGGUACCUAACCAGAAAGCCCCGGCUAACUACGUGCCAGCAGCCGCGGUAAUACGUAGGGGGCGAGCGUUGUCCGGAAUUAUUGGGC